rnacentral:rRNA from 1 species
AGUUUCUUGAUUAUUUAAUAAGAAAUGUUUUUUGCUCAGUGUUUUUAAAUAGCCGCGGUAAUUUGACUGUGCAAAGGUAGCAUAAUCAUUUGCUUUAUAAUUGAGGGCUUGUAUGAAUGGAGAAACGAAAAUUUAACUGUCUCUUUUUAAAAAUUAAAAUUUGUUUUUUGUGUGAAGAAACACGUAUGAGUAAAAGGGACAAGAAGACCCUUUUGAGCUUUAUUUAAUUGGAAAUUUUUUUUUUUAUUGAAUUUGGUUGGGGCGACCAAGGAAGAACAAUCUUCUUUAUAAUAUUUUGAUCCAUGUUUUAUGAUUUUUGGAAAAAGUUACCAAAGGGAUAACAGCGUAUUUUUUUUUGUGAGUUCUUAUUAAAAAAAAAGAUUGCGACCUCGAUGUUGACUUAUAUUUACCUUUAGGUGCAGUAGCUAUAGGGGGGGGUCUGUUCGACCUUUAAAAUUUU